UUUGUUCUGUGGGGCUUACUAAGUUGCUGUGAAGAUAACAUUCUCUGCGAGCGCAGGUUCGGCGGGGCCCGGCUGGUUUCUCCAGCUCUCCAAGGCUGGGCAGCGCGCUUUCUGGCCACCGCAGCACACUGGUCCUGGCGAGUUUCUCCAACACGGUCGCCACGGGGAAGAGGGGUGCAGGUCCACACCGUCCUAGGCUCACACGAAUUUGUAAAGGGAGGAUAUUUGUUUAGGAUAUGAUGCACAAGGAAAUGCCCAGACGUCUUUGAGAUGGGUGGAGGAAAGAAAUAUGGAAGACGUUUCUCUUGCCUUUUGAUGAGGAAUGGGGAAGGGGCGGGGGUUGAUGGUGGAGAUGGACGCCCGGAUUUGACUCUGGGAGCGGGAGCGAGGCGAUGCCUGCGAUGUCCAGGGAAGGUCAUUGCCUCUUGCUGCGUGUGCGUGGUUUUGUUUUGUUUUUUGUUUUUUGUUUUUUUUUUUAAGGUCCACAUGAAACUUUGAAUAUAGCUUUUAUUUUAUUUAUCUCAACUAAAUCCCAAUAAGCAUUUCCCACUAUGGACUGGGGAAAAUGAGUCAUGUCUCCAGGGCCUCAACGAAUUCCUUAAAAACUGCAUGAAACGAAGCCCGAGUUAUAUUCCAAAAGCGCCGUCCACCUUCGUGAUAUUUGUAAAUUGCCAUGACGAGUCCCUUUGACAUAGUGUCCUAAUGAGUGGAAGGGUCGCUUCUAGAGCUCUUAAUUCUUUUGAGAAAAAAAAAUCUUAAAAACAUUAAUUCGUGUUCUGACAAAAGGGCUUACAACGCUCGGGGUCUUUUGCCUUAGCGGGGAGCAGAAAGUUUGGGGAGGAGGAGUGUGGAUUCCUAGGAGUUUGGGAGCUGAUCUUUUUUUUUUUUUUUUUUUUUUUCAUGGGAUAAUUGGUGCAGAUCCCAAAGAUCGGGACGGUCAGGCCUUUACCAGAGCGCGAUCCAGCGUGUUAACCACCAUUUGCUCCAACCGUCAGCCGUGGGCAAAAUUAGCCUGCCGCGCCCUCUUUGCAGGACCGGGCUUCUCUUGGGUCAGUUUAAUGAUGGCCGAUUAAUGAAGCCAUUGUCCGCCUUCAGGGGAAAGAAGCAGCGCGGGCGAGUUGUGGGCCGCGUCCACGUGUUAGGCCACGCCAUAGGCACCUCCAAGGUCCGCAUCAAUAGUUCCCAGGGGGGAGACGGGAGCAGGAGUGAGUGCUUCCGGCAGCCCAGUGGCAGGUGAGUCCUCCGCUCCUGACGGGGCUGGAGGGGGCACCCCUGGGAGCCCGCCACAGUCUGGAGCAUCCAGGGGCGUCCGAUGCCCCCUGAGAAAGCUCUGGGACUUCGAAACUGCGACUAUUUUUUUUUCCCGCGGUCCCAAAUUAUUAGGGAGCCACUAUUGGAGAGCGUUCCCUGCAGAAUCCAAUCCUUACCUGAACCCCCAACGUGGGGCCGCCCCCAUCCCACACUACGUUCCUCUUCCCCUUCGCCUUUGGCUUGGGCGCUGCGGAGCUGGCAUUCCAGGUUGGAGCAGCCGCCAGAACCUGAUCCAGCUCCAGGGCGGGCACAGGUGUCAGCUUGAACCGGAAUUAUGUAAUAGAUUUGGCAGCCCUGGCUCUUACCAAACGGAAUUAAGAAGGGUGGGGCUUUCCUUUUCUUUUCUCCUCCGUUUCUUUUGACUACAUCUGGUCAGGUGUACUCGAUCCGUGGCAGCAGGUGUUAUUGCAGGAAAAGACGAAGCGGAAUGGCUGUGGAGGUCAAAAAGCGCUCCCAUGGAGCCACCCAAGACUAGCCUGGGGGCCCUGGGAAGAGCUACCCCUUCCCGAGCCGCUCACCUGAGGCCGUGACCCGUAGCCGUAGGCGACCUGAAUUUCAGGCACAGGGGACGAGGAGGGGUCUCUUUGUUUUCUGGCCAAAACCCCUCUUGUAGAAACUAUGGGGUUCCCUUCUGAUGACUAUUUGCCUUUUAUUAGCCUACCUAUCACCCCACGAGUGUGGGAGAGUGUGAGUUUGGACGGAAAAUAAGGAGAUUCUAGGUAAAAUACCCUUGCAGGCGACAGGGAGCCCCGCCUUCAUCUCGGAAGCGUUACCUGCGAGCAGCCUCCGCCAAAGCAGGUCUCCAAAAAUGAGCCAAAGGGAGCUAGCCGGAACCCCUUCUGAGAUGCAAGCCCAUGGGGCUCUGGUUCAGUAGAAUUUUUUAAAAGCAUUUUACCAAUUUUGGUAAGCUCUAGAAGGGGAUUUCAUACAGUCAGUCUCCAUUUUAUUAGGUACAAAAGAAAACAGAGGAACGAUGACAUCUCCCUCUCCAAACCAUCAGUUUACUUGUGGGUACUAAAUUAUUGCCAUGACUGAAUUUAAUGCUAGGGACUGGUUUGAAACCUUAGAGACCUAAGGAAGUGUUUGAGCUUAAAAAGUGAAAUGCUAAAUUUUGAGAGUAGGCUUACUUUUAAAUGAUAAAAGAGAAUAGUUUUUAAGUACCAAUUCAAAGGCCAAAUUUGAGUCUCUGAGCUGAGUUCUAAAAGGAGCAAGGUUAUUAGAUUUCAAACAAACAUUUGGAGAGUUAUGGCAGAACUAUGACGACAGUGGCCAGAGUCUGGUGUCUAAGUGGUUAUUUACAAGGUGAUGUGGCGUGUAUCUGAACUCCUUAAUUGGGACUGGUGAUUUCAGCCCAAAACUCACAUGUAUAAAGAUUUUAGUAACAACUGCACAAAUAAAAAUGUCUCCUUCUGGAGUAGCUUCCAUUUGCAGAGGUUGCUGCCAGGAAAGCUGGUGAAUCCUUUACCCUGGAUAUUUACAUGGCCCUGAAGUGCCCUUGUACCUAUGUGUUAAUUGUAGCACAACUCCACGCAAUGACUACCUAUAAAUGACAUUUUUUAAAAAUCAUGUAAGAUAUAAGCACGGAGAAGACUAACAUCUGCCAGGAAAUUUUUUAAAACAAAGUUCAAACUAGCCCCAUUAAAUAAGUCAUGGUCAAAACGGUUUCAUGGCGAAUUAUUUUUUGCCUUCCCUGAUGCUGCCAAAGCCAUUGAUGAUCACAGGAGACCUCAGCAAAAGGAAUCAGGAAGCAGCACUCUCCCCCACCUUUUUUUCCAAACGCACAUGAGUUUCUUCGUGAAUUCCAUUUGCUGGAUUUCGUCUGCCAGUUGAAGAUCCUGUACUGAUCUGGGUAGGGACCAGCCCCCACACGCAGCCGUCUGUUCCUGAGCAGAACUUGGAGGUAUAACUACAUUUUCAUGCCAACAGGACAAAAUGAUUUCUCUCAGAAUCAGGUUGUGUUUUCAAGUUACCUUUCCUGUCUAAUCACCUGAUGCUUAAAAGACUGAUCACCUUAAAGAACACUCCUCAGUGCCAGCGCCAUAGAACCUAGUUGAGCUCUGGGGGCUUUUCUUGAGUACUCAUAAAAGAUUCCACACCUUCCAGGAAGGCAGGUUGUAUGUGGUUGGUACAUCAGUGGCUACUUGGUGUCUAAUUUAAGUCUUCAGGUGUUUUACUAGCUAAGAAGAGUAAAUUUCGCAGGUUGUAUAUACUUUAAGAAGGGAAAAAGGAAUGCAAAUUAUGAAGUUGUCUGUUUAAAACAUAGUUUUGCAACUGCUAAGUUCUACUUAAACAGAACCCCAAAUUAAUUUUGUCCUCCUCAGUCAUAAAUUACUUUCUUUUAUAGAAUUGUUCUGUACAUCAAAGCUGUACCUUAUUGAAUCCCUCACUUUCCUCCGUGCAGCCCAAUCCUGAGGCCUCAUGAAAACGCUGGCUAAUAAUUUUAAAGAAAGAAAGGCAAAUUCUCAAAAAUGAUAUUCAACAUGCAGGGCAUCUUAAUUAUUAAGUAACUGUUAAACAAUGAAAACUGUUCCCACCAUGCCACUGUACUAUAUAGGCUGCAUGUUGUAUAUAGCUUGAAUGUUGACCUUAAACAAAAAUACCCAUUUUUCAACGUGUGACUGGUCCAUCGAGAACGAACUCUUGUCCUCAGAAACCAAGCCCCAAACAGAGAGAAUGCAUAGGGGUGGGGGUCCAGAUGUGUUUAGAUUGUGUGCUGCAGGCACUGCGAAGGCGGGUGCAGGCUGGGCGGGAGUCUACAUGCUCUUUACUUCCUCUCUUAUCACUGUUGUCUGAAAGAAUUUUUAAAACUCAGCUCGGGUUGGUAAAAUAUGAUCUUCGUUUGAUAUAGUGUGUAACCGGCUCCAUCGCUGAGAGGAUUUUUUUUUUUUCCAGCAACUAACAUAAUUUCAAAGAGCAACUUCUUUUUGUUCUAUUUUCCUUCAAAACUAUGCUGGGCACAAAGUAGUAACAUUUUAUUCUUAUUCUGAAAUAAGAUUUGGCAGGUAAAUGAGUGCUAAAACAUGCCAAAUAUUCAGCAAUCUACCGUUCAGAGAUUCUUUAUGCCACAGAAUAGGUUUAUAACUCUGUAGCAAUAAUAAUCCCUUAGGUAUACAAAUAUACAGUUCACCAACCCAUCUAGUGGUUUCACUGGAAUGGGAGAAGGGAGAUGGUUACCGUGACAUCAUUGUUAUUAUUUAAACUGCCAGGGGAGAAUAUAAUUGUUAAUAAAAGCCUUCUUCUCCACGCCCAUCAAGGUUCCCUCCCCCCUGGCAUUUUUAUGACGUGCCAUACACAAUGAAUGUAAGCAGAGUUAUGUUGAUCCUGGGAACCUACUGUAUAACUAUAAUGUCGCACAGGUCAGCAAGGAAAUGAAGAAGAAAAUGACUCUAUUUAGGGAUAGUUGUUUGAGAAAAUAUAUAUUUACAAGUUUGGGGUAUUGGUAUUAAAACUUUGUCUCUUUGAAUGUGCGUAUGUGUGUACAGAGGGAGUGCUAUGAACGGGUUGUAUGCAUCCGUUGUAGAAUCCAUGUGCGUCUGUGUGUACAGAGGGAGUGCUAUAAACGGGUUUUAUGCAUCCGUUGUAGAAUCCUGGUGUUUGUACAUUAAAAAGCUGCCAUGUAAUCAUUCCAUGGGACUGGUUUAAUGCAAUUAACAGAGAACUAAUGGGUAGUCUAUGUUGAAAAGCAUGGUCCUAUUUUUUAAUCCCAUCACGUAUUGAAGCGGUUCUGUGCGAGUCUGCCGCUUUCACCUUUAUCCACAGUGGAUGCUCUUGUUCGAGAAAUCCAUUUCAACCACUUUUGGUUCCUGAUCAUUGCUAAAAUGCCUCCACUUCUUUCUCUGCCACUAUUCUUUAUUUUUGGCCUAUUUUUGCCAGACUUAGCAAUUAUGAUAAACAAUCCUUGCCGCACUGAAACUCAGUUGAAAUGAUCCGGUGAACCCCCGCCUUGGCCCUUGCUGCAAACUGUAAUCUCAAAUACUGGAUAUGGUCGGACUUGGUCGUGGGCUCUAAGCUACUGGAGACCGAAGCUACUUUUUCGUGCUGGGAUUUUACCUUCUUUCUAGCCUGGAGCGCGCGCGCUAUGUACACACACACACACACACACACACACACACACACACACCCUCUGUAAAAACAAGCUGAGGUGAGGUGAGGGGGUGCCCCCUGUGAACAGAGACGCAGGGCUCGGGCGGAGGGAGCCUGGCCAUCGGGGAAACGGGCGGCGUGAGCAGCGCAGGGACAAGGGGCUGUGACUAAGAGAGAGAGAGAGAGAGAGAGAGAGAGAGAGAGAGAGAGAGAGAGAGGGAGAGAGAGACAGACGCGAGCUGGCCGAGAGGAGCAGAAGGCAGGAGGGGAAAUCUGGCACCACGGCUGGGAGAGGAAACUUGAUGCUUCUGGGCCAACAUUUGCCAGGGCCUCGCUCGAGACGCCGAAAGGAGCCUGAUUGUGUGCUGCGGCCGUGGAGUGACUCUGGAUCUUGUCUUCCGGCCGGCGCCUCGGUUCCUGCCCAGCUGGAUUUGGGGGGCAGCACUGCCUGGCGCGGGGAGAUCAAAUGAGACUGCAAAGAAUCAUAAAAUGAACAGACAAUCCAACCGACUAAAGACCGGGGGCAGCAGCAGGCCAGCAAGACGGCAUCUUCUCCUUCUGAGCCUAGAAGCCCUGUGAAAUCGCGGAUCUUCCCCCUAAAACACACACACACAAGAUAUGUGCAAUCAAGCUGCCACCACUUGGUAAAAAGCUCAUGGUGCCUAACCAAAAAGGAUCAGGAGCAGAUCCUUGAAUCAGCUGUCACUUCUAUAGAAUGGGAUGUUUUUUUUUUUCUUCCUCUUUAACCUGCGCUGGAAAUUGCCGUUGGCUUUGUACAUCUCUAUAGAGAGAGGCUAAAGAGUCUUGCGUGAGAAAGAAGCGAUUUACAAUGCAAAUAGAGGCCUGUGAAGGGACGGAUGCUGCUGCUCACUCGUAACAGCUUGCUGCACCUUAAUAGCUGGUUUUAUUUUCUGAUAUUAAUAGAUGAAUUGUUGGCUAACGCUGCCGGAGAUUACUUGCUGAAAGAAAAAAAAAAGUUCGGAAUAAACUCUGAAGGCAACAGAUCUCAUUUGGAUGUUUCAGCAGCGCGCACACACAAACAGAAACCAGGUCAUAUUUACAUAAAAGAGGAAUCUUAAGCGCGGCAAGUAUCCUGGACGACUACUCUUCAGUACUGCCAGAAAGGAUCGGGACCUGGAGUCUGGCAAGAGAAAGACAGAGGCCUGUGUGGGAAGCGAGUUGUUAUCUUUGGUUAUCUAGCUGUAUGAGUGUAUUGGUCUUCAUAAAGCUAGAUAACCGAAAGUAAAAACUCCUUCAAGAUCGCCGGGGAGCGUGUGAGAAUGAAAGACUACAACCGAGAGACAGUAAAAACCAGAAAGGUCAGGAAUACUUAUUGAAUCUAACUUUGUUUUUGUUUUUCUUUUGUGUGUGUUUGUUUGUUUGUUUUUUUCUUAUGAUUAAAGGUGGGAUGAAAGGAAAUUAAGUGACACACAUAUGCGAAAAUAUGAAGGUGCCAGAUAUAUCUUGAGAGGGGUUGUGGCAGCGGCAAAGGAGAAUUGUAAAGUGCUAAUGAGUAAAGAUGCAUGUGCAAUUUGUUCUAUUUUAAGGCAAAAGUUUAUAUAUGAGAGAUUUUUUUUUCUUAGAAAGCUGUUGCAGAGAUGCCUGGUACCUGGUUUUAAAAUGAUUCCAUAAUAUGUAGAACUUGGGCAGUUCCCUUCUGAGGCUCCUCCCCCUCAAAAUUUGAAGAUUGUGCUUGGAAAUUACCUUACACGUAUGUGGGCUGUAUGUCAAUUUAUACGAAAUUAGACUUUCAGAGAAGUUUAUACUGGAAGGUUAAUAAUUUAUAUCUACUGAGGGUUUAGAGCUAGCAGGCAAAAUGAAAAAAAAAAAAUAAGCAAGAGCUGAUUUUUAUUCUUCUAUUCAAAAUACAAGCACAGAUGCUUCUCUGUUCCAAGAGGGUUUCCUUGAGGAAGCUACUGAAGCAGAAAGACAUGAUGGAGACGAGAUCGCCUCCCCUCUUGUCAAAGUGUUAAAAAAAUAUUCUGUCUUACUCUGCGCCUAGCAUUGGAAAUGAAAGUGACAUUUACGCCACAACCCACGUGUGCGCCUCCUCUCUUUUUGUUUAAGGAUGAUCAGGUCUAUCCAGGAAACAGCUCUGGCAUCCCAAACUGAAAUAAUUAGGACGUAUAUAGACCUGACAAAAAUGGAAAGGGGGUGGGGAAUCUGAGGGUCUGUCUUGCCUAAUUGAUUCCGCUAAACGGAAUGCAGGAGAUGUGAACGGCAGGACGCUCCGAUUCCCACGCUCGGGGGCAAGUGAUAAAGCGGGGCCGGGCAGCCUAUGACAGACAGCCCUGUUGGGGGGUGGGGGUAUGAAAAAAACAUCAAGUGCACACACCAUACUCAUCUCCAUCGCUUGAGAAAGUAAAGGCAUUUCCCACCCACAGCCAUCUGCAGCUUCCCAAAUGGCAACACCAACUGGUCUGUAGCUGCUGCAUACUGUCUGUUUCUGUUAAUUUUUUAACCACUGUGUAAUCUGGCCAUAAUUAAGUUUAGCUUUCUUUGUUGUUUGAGAUUUUCAGGAUUCAAGGAAAGCUAGUAGAAAGCAAUUCCAAGAAAGUCCCAUCAUUGCCUGCCCCUCGUGUCAAAAUCUCAGUCCAUGAGAUUAUGGCCUUGGUACCACAUUUUGGCUUUUGUUUUGGGUGGGCUGUAUUUUAAAAUACAUACUCUAUGUAACAGUCGUUAUUAUAAUUUCAUGAGGCUUUUUGCCUCUUAACAUGAUAUAUCUAGAAACUUGAUCUAAUUGUGCUAGUAGAUACAUACUGGAAGAAAAACUAUAAAGUCAUUAACCUGGAGGAAGUUGAUUAUGAUAACAAUAUGAUAAAAAGUUUGUUUUAGAAUAGACUCAGCUAGAUGGGUCUAAAUAGCCAUUUUAAUUUUAUCUAAAAAUAACACUAUGCCUAGCAGAAACUUUGGCUCUUUGGAGGUCCCCAUUGUCACCUUUUUGUAAAAGUCCUUAAGUUUUCCAUAUUCACCUAGCAAACAUUUGUAUAGGCAUUUACACAGAAAUAUAACCAUUGCAAGUAGAAAAUAUCCAAAAUAUCUUGUUAUCUUCCAUGUGGCCUAGAUUACUGACAAUCCCAAAUAUACAGUUUUUUCUUUAAAAGUAGUACAAUUUCCUUUGUAGCUUCAAUUCCUUAUAUGAUUCAAACUGGAGCAGGCUGUUAAACCACUGUUACUUUCAGUUAGAAAGUCUUUGAGACUUUAUAUACAUAAAUUCUCAAUUUGGCUGCUGUACACGUGCCAAAGUUUCACUACUGUAGUGACCGUUGAGAAGACCCUUGUUUAUUUACAUUUGAAGCACGGUUUGUGCAAACAACCUUUCAUUGUUAAGUGCCUGUAUUCCUUUCGUUUACUUCAUGUCCAGGGGUGCUAUUUACCUAGAACCAUUGUCUACUACAAUUAACAUUUACAUUACAAAGUGUGUGGUUUUCUUUCUCAAGGAGGUUCAAUUAAGGCAAUAAGAUGUUUGCUGGGGAAACCUAUUGUUUACUGAAAGCACUCAAUGGAGUCAAAUUACUGAAGCUUUUGCCUACAUCUUGGUCUUUUAUGUAAAUAUGUUAAAAUAACAUCUAAGGAAAAUAAACAAUAUUAUAAUUCUGUGUUUGCCAUUGUCAUAUCAAACUUGCUUUGUAUCAUACUAAUGUUACAUAACUUAUCGAUCAAUAAAAAUACAUUUCAAUGUUA